rnacentral:rRNA from 1 species
UACGUAGGCAGCGAGCGUUGUUCGGAGUUACUGGGCGUAAAGGGUGUGUAGGCGGUUGCUUAAGUUUGGUGUGAAAUCCUCCCGGCUUAACUGGGAGGGUGCGCCGAAUACUGAGUGACUAGAGUGCGGGAGAGGAGAGUGGAAUUCCCGGUGUAGCGGUGAAAUGCGCAGAUAUCGGGAAGAACACCAGUGGCGAAGGCGGCUC